UAAGAUUGCAUGGGUGAGCAAGAAAAGUGGGUCCAUUUUCCAGCUAUAUAUACACAGCCAUGACUUAAUAUUGUAUCAGCUCAAGGCCUAACCCUAACCCUAACAUCCCUCUGCUUCUUCCUUCAUAACUUAUCAAUGUCAGGGACGUCAGGCUCACAAGAGGAGAAAAAGACUGUUAGCAUUCGGAUGGACAAAAUCGGUUGCCUCGAAAUCAAUAUUACCGUUACUGGAAAAGAAGUUGUGCUGACGAUCGAUGGAGUCCCCCAGCCAAAAAUCAAAGAUAAGAAGAAUCUACAAAUAAUCAUCAAAGACCCCGAGCCAGGCCCCAAGAAAGAUCAGAAAGGCAGUAGAAAUUAAAUGCAAGAAGCGUCUGCAAAUGAUACUAGGGAUAUGGAAAUAUUAUUGAAGAUGUGAUGGAAAAAACAUACACAAAGAGAUAAAAACCCACUGGAUUGUAAGAAAGUAGUACACAAAAUUAUUAUCUAGUAGAUACUUUUAUUGUAAGAAGGCAAAAUCCACGGAGCCCAACAAAAAAUCCAAGGCGCCCAAGCUAGACCCUCCUCAGGCAAUGAAAUCUAUAAAUUAAAUGUAAGAAGCGUCUCCAAAUAUAUAUUGGAGAUAUGGAAAUAUUAUUGAAGACAUGAAGAUAUUUGACUUUUAUUGUAUAUAAAAUAAUGGUUAUUGUCUUCUAUGGUAUAUAAGAUUAUUUUAUUUUUCUUU